CAGCAUUCUGUAGCAAUACAGGGUGUGGGCGCGUGGCGAACGGGUGCGUAACACGUGGAUAACCUUCCUUCAGGUGGGGAAUAACCCAGUGAAAAUUGGGCUAAUACCGCAUAACAUGACGAUGCCACAUGGUGUUGUCUUCAAAGCCGCAAGGCGCCAGAAGAGGGAUCCGCGGCCGAUUAGCUUGUUGGCGAGGUAACGGCUCACCAAGGCUUUGAUCGGUAGCCGGACUGAGAGGUUGGCCGGCCACACUGGAACUGAGACGCGGUCCAGACUCCUACGGGAGGCAGCAGUGGGGAAUCUUGCACAAUGGACGAAAGUCUGAUGCAGCAACGCCGCGUGGGGGAUGAAGCUUUUCGGAGUGUAAACCCCUUUCGACCCGGAAGAAUGCCCGCAAGGGCUUGACGGUACGGGUAUAAGAAGCCCCGGCUAACUACGUGCCAGCAGCCGCGGUAAUACGUAGGGGGCCAGCGUUGCUCGGAAUUACUGGGCGUAAAGGGUCCGUAGGCGGUGUGGCAAGUCGGGAGUGAAAUCUCUGGGCUUAACCCAGAGGCUGCUUCCGAAACUGCCAUGCUAGAGCGUGAGAGAGGCGAGUGGAAUUACGGGUGUAGCGGUGAAAUGCGUAGAUAUCCGUAGGAACAUCCGAGGCGAAGGCGGCUCGCUGGAUCACAACUGACGCUGAGGGACGAAAGCUAGGGGAGCAAACAGGAUUAGAUACCCUGGUAGUCCUAGCCCUAAACCAUCAGACUUGGGGUGUGCCCUGUACGGGGCACGUCCCGUAGCUAACGCGUUAAGUCCUGCGCCUGGGGAGUACGGUCGCAAGGCUG
rnacentral:rRNA from 1 species